GUGAAUGUCAGUGUAUAUAUUUUUCAUACAGCGAAUGCCACUAAAAUGGCUGCUGCCUCCCUGUUUCCUUAGAAACCCAUUAGUCUUCCUCGGCGGUGGUCGAAACUUGCUGGCGGUUUCUUGCUCACCUUUCCCGUUUCCCCUUUCAAAAGGGAUGAAGAGGAAGGUUAUCAUGGCUUAGGGCCGGAGCACCCACGGUAGUCACCAAGUGUGGAGUCCAGGGGACAGUUUGUCCUGAAGGAGGAGGUUCAAGGAGACUGGAGAAUGAAACAGCAGGUGCAUUCUGGGAUGCUUUUAUCCUAAUAAAACUCCUCCAAAGACUUUGCUGUUUUCCCUCUGCUCAAUAGCCAGGAUCUGGUUUCAGACCUGCCACCCCAUUCUCUCAGCAACACCUCCCUGCUUGGUGCUUGUCCCCAGCUGACCUGCAUCCAUUUCUAUCAUGUUUUAGCUGAAACGCCAAACUGCAGGGCUUUGUCUCCUGAGCAACUGCCGAUGGGGCUAAAGGAUGAAAUACGGAAAUGCAGAGGAUUUAAUUCCCCUGAGUGAAUUGUGACCAGUGGGAGACAAGAGAUUGGAGGAUACUGGGCAGAUAAACGUCCUCUCCCUUUUUCCCUCUGAUGAACUGUUCCAAUAUAUGAUUUCUCCAUACAGCCUGUCAGAAGUCGACCUCUGUGACCAAGCCUAUGUGCUUACUGACUGCUGUAGUUUGGAUUGUGUUCCCCAAAAGAUAUGUUGAAGUCUUGAACCCAGUACCUUAUUGGAGAGAGGGUCUUUGCAGAUGUAAUUGAGUUAAGAUGAGGUCAUCAGGGCAGGUCCUAACCCAAUAUGAUUGAUGUCUUUAUAAGAAGAAAAGACAGAGACACAGAGGGAGAAGACGGCCAUGUGAUGACAGAGACCAAGGUUGGAAUGAUGCAUCUACCAGCCAAGGAACACCAAGGAUUGUCAACAAACACCAGAAGCUAGAAGAAACGAGGAAGGAUCCCCUACAGGUUUCAGGGCAUAUGAAACCUACCAACAUCUUGAUUUUGAAUUUCUAGCCUC